UCCUCUAGGUGGGGGUAAGAACACAGACAGAAGUGGAUUCCAUUUGUAUUCAGGCUCACCGUUGGCUUUUCCAGAUUAGCGUUUGAAAGAACAACAUUUAGCCUCCAAAUUUUAUACCAUCAAAAGUUUUCAUAGAGGAAGGUGAGGCAUUGGGAUCACGACUGGCCAGUGAUUUCUCUGGCGGCGUCUGAAAUUCAGGAGUGUUAGUGCCCAGACCGCCUUCCCCAUGCUCCUCACCGGCAAUGACUCACCGCCCAUACUAAGGACUGACCUCAGAACCCACCACCGUUCCGGUUACACAAGCUUGACACCUGCCAGUAAUUCCUGACACUCUUGUCUCCCUCACCUCUGAGCCCACGACGACCCAUGGCCAUGAGCUGUUCCCUCAGCUGUUGCACGUCUCUCCAGUGUAUCCACUCCUGUCCGUUUUCAUCCCAACCUUGGUCAUCACCUUGCGCCUGGACUGCCGUGCUAGAAGCCUUUGUAAUGGGUCUGCCCACAUCCACCGCAGCUGAAAUCCCAUCCACUCUCCCUCCGGUAGCAGAAUGAUCUUUCUGAACGCACAUCCCAGCAUGUCAC